rnacentral:rRNA from 1 species
CGUGUAGGCGGUUGGUUAAGUCGGAUGUGAAAGCCUGGGGCUCAGCCCCAGAAGUGCAUCCGAAACUAUCCAGCUAGAGCGCGAUAGAGGAGGGUGGAAUUCCUGGUGUAGCGGUGAAAUUCGUAGAUAUCAGGAGGAACACCGGCGGCGAAGGCGGCCCUCUGGAUCGUUGCUGACGCUGAGACGCGAAAGCGUGGGGAGCAAACAGGAUUAGAUACCCUGGUAGUCCACGCCUUAAACGAUGGGUACUAGGUGUUCGGGGUGUUGACCCCCUGAGUGCCGCAGUUAACGCAUUAAGUACCCCGCCUGGGGGCUACGGCCGCAAGGUUAAA